GCCAGGGAGGCGUAGUGGUUAGCGUAUCUGCCUAACGAGCAGGAGACACAGGUUCGAAUCCUGUCCUUGGUA